AUCGGGAUGGCCCUUUGACAACGUCUGACCUCUGAGAAAAGAGGACCAAGAGUAUGUACCCCUUUCAUUCACCAAUAAUGGGACAUGUGCUGCCCCAAAAAGGGGCAUAUCCUUGGGCGAGAAGGACUUCUUUGAGGGCGAUAUCUGAAGGAUUCAGCUGAGUGCAGCCAGCCUCUACUGCCCUCAAUGAAACCGCCUUUGCAAAAAUUAUAAAUGAGGAAAUUAUAACAGUGAAAGAGGUGAGACCUAAUUGGCUCCACCUUGCUUCUAACCUUUAAGCUGCCUUUGUUUAUUCCUGGGCGUAGGCAGAACUAACCUUGGGAAGGAAUUUAGUUUCUACUUUAACUCUGAAACAAAAUUGAUACUAGCCCUUUCCCAAAAUUGAUAAUAGCCCUUUCCCCCUUCUUGCCUGGGGGACCAGUCUGCCUUUGUAGGACUAACAAAUUGGAUACAAGAUUAUAAAUUACAGCUUAAGGUCCAUGCAGCCUCUAGCCGCAAGAGUCUGAACUUCCCCAAAUUGCUCCUGGGAAUGACAUCACUGUUGUAAAACCUAAGAUCAGUUCUUGAGAUAUUUUUCAGACCCUGCACUUGAUGCACCAGCUGACACCACCCAGACCAGUAAUCUGGCUCAACCAGUUCUGCGAUCCUACUCAGGAAGUGAAGACAGCAAGAAAAAUUCACUUCGACCCCCUGUGAUUCCAUCUCCAACCCAACCAAUAAGCACUCCCCACUUUCCGAGCCCCUACCCACCAAAUUAUCCUUAAAAACUCUGAUCCCCAAAUUCUUGAGGAGACUUAUUUGAGUAAUAAUAAAAC
rnacentral:lncRNA from 1 species